GAUGAACGCUGGCGGCGUGCCUAAUACAUGCAAGUCGAGCGAACAGACGAGGAGCUUGCUCCUCUGCCGUUAGCGGCGGACGGGUGAGUAACACGUGGAUAACCUACCUAUAAGACUGGGAUAACUUCGGGAAACCGGAGCUAAUACCGGCUAAUAUAUUGAACCGCUUGGUUCAAUAGUGAUAGACGGUUUUGCUGUCUCUUUUAGAUGGUUCCGCGCUGGAUUUGGUAAGUGGUAAGGUUACGGCUUAACAAGGCGACGAUGCCUAGCCGACCUGAGAGGGUGGUCGACCAAACCGGGAACGGGACACCGGCCCGAAUCCUAAGGGAAGGAGGCGGAGGGGAUUAUUCGCCAAGGGCGGAAAGCUUACGGAGCAACGCCGGGGGAGUGGUAGAAGUCUUCCGAGCGUAAAACUCUGUUAGUAGGGAAAAAAAAAUGUGUAAGUAACUAUGCACGGCUUGAAGGUAACUAAACAGAAAGCCACGGCUAACUACGUG
rnacentral:rRNA from 1 species